AUACAGAGGGCAACCACAGCAACUGGAAGCUACUGGUCUGGACGAUUAUGGUGCUGGCAGAUAUGGAGAACCCAGCCAGCUGCCAUAUGGUGUUCAACCUGCUGGUCUUGGAGCUGAAGGUAAACGAGGACUAUUUGGUGGGCCACAAGUAAGAUAUGAAUCCCAGCCUGCCCAGGCAAUAGGGCUGGAUGGCAAUGGAAAUGGACUAGCAUAUUUGAACAGUAGAGAUCUUCAAGCUAAUGGACUGGGGGCAGGUGCAUUUGGUCCUCUUGCUGCAGGGCAUGCACCCGGAGGAUAUGACAGUCUGCUAGGCCCUGGACAGCCACUAGGAGGAUAU